ensembl:snoRNA
GGCUUCCUGGGAUCCCAUCUGGAAAGUGCUUAGUAUUCUAUCAGCUUCAUGAAAGGAGGGAAAGUAAACCUGGCGAGGCACCUUUUCCAUUCCCAGCUCAGUGGCUGGUGAUUGGAAGACACUCUGUGACAGCG